rnacentral:rRNA from 1 species
UGCGUAGGCGGGCUAGUAAGUCAGGGGUGAAAGCCCGCGGCUCAACCGCGGAACUGCCCUUGAUACUGCAAGUCUUGAGUCCUGGAGGGGCUGGCGGAAUUCGUGGUGUAGCGGUGAAAUGCGUAGAUAUCACGAGGAACACCGGAGGUGUAGACGGCCAGCUGGACAGGUACUGACGCUGAGGCACGAAAGCGUGGGGAGCGAACAGGAUUAGAUACCCUGGUAGUCCACGCUGUAAACGAUGAGUGCUCGAUGCUGCACCGAUUGGGGUGCAGUGUCUAAGCUAACGCGUUAAGCACUCCACCUGGGGAGUACGCUCGCAAGGGUGAA